GACGAACGCUGGCGGCGUGCUUAACACAUGCAAGUCGAACGGAAAGGCCCUGCUUUUGUGGGGUGCUCGAGUGACUGACUGGUGAUUAACACGUGAGUAACCUGCCCUUGACUUUGGGAUAACUUCAGGAAACUGGGGCUAAUACCGGAUAGGAGCUCCUGCUGCAUGGUGGGGGUUGGAAAGUUUCGGCGGUUGGGGAUGGACUCGCGGCUUAUCAGCUUGUUGGUGGGGUAGUGGCUUACCAAGGCUUUGACGGGUAGCCGGCCUGAGAGGGUGACCGGCAACAUUGGGACGGAGAUAAGGCCCAGACUCCUACGGGAGGCAGCAGAGGAGAAUAUAGAAAAAUGGGAGGAAGCCUGAUGCGGCAACGCCGCGUGCGGGAUAACGGCCUUCGGGUUGUAAACCGAUUUCGCCUGUGACGAAGCGGGAGUGACGGUAAUGGGUAAAGAAGCACCGGCUAACUACGUG
rnacentral:rRNA from 1 species